rnacentral:rRNA from 1 species
GGAGUUAGCCGGUGCUUCUUCUGUGAGUGAUGUCCUUCCUGCCGGCUAUUAACCCGCAGGCCUUCUUCCUCACUGAAAGUGCUUUACAACCCGAAGGCCUUCUUCACACACGCGGCAUGGCUGGAUCAGGGUUGCCCCCAUUGUCCAAUAUUCCCCACUGCUGCCUCCCGUAGGAGUCUGGGCCGUGUCUCAGUCCCAGUGUGGCUGAUCAUCCUCUCAGACCAGCUACGGAUCGUCGCCUUGGUGAGCCGUUACCUCACCAACCAGCUAAUCCGACAUAGGCUCAUCCGAUAGCGCGAGGCCCGAAGGUCCCCCGCUUUCCCCCGUAGGGCGUAUGCGGUAUUAGCCUGGGUUUCCCCAGGUUAUCCCCCACUACCGGGCAGAUUCCUAUGCAUUACUCACCCGUCCGCCGCUCGCCACCAGGGAGCAAGCUCCCCGUGCUGCCGCUCGACUUGCAUGUGUUAGGCCUGCCGCCAGCGUUCAAUCUGAGCCAGAAUCGAAACCUCGACGUACUAGACGGCGGCGUCGGACGACGGCGACAGU